rnacentral:lncRNA from 1 species
GGAGGAGAACUGCUUGAACCCAGUAGGUGGAGGUUGUAGUGAGCCGAGAUUGCGUCACUGUACUCCAACCUGGGUGACAAGAGUGAAACUCUGUCUCAAAAAAAAAAAAAAGAACUGAGUAAACCAGCCAGGUGCAGGGGCUCAUGCCUGUAAUCCCAGCACUUUGGGAGGCGGAGGUGGGCAGAUUGCUUGAGCCCAGGAGUUUGAGACCAGCCUAGGUAACAUGGCAAGACCCCAUUUCUGCAAAAAAUACAAAAACUAGCUGGGUGCGGUGGCACGUGCCUCUAGUUCCAGCUACUUGGGAGGCUGUGGUAGAAGGAUCACUUGAGCCCAGGAGGUGAAGGUUGCAGUUAGCCAAGAUUGCACCACUGUACUCCAGCCUGGGGAACAGAGUGAGACUGUCUCAAAUAAUAAUAAUAAUAACAACAAUAAUAAUGAUAAUAAUAAACCUUAGUUAACCCAAGACAUCCAAAAUAUUAUCAUCUCAACAUGUAGUUAAUAUAAAAAGUUGAGACAUUUAUGCUUCUUCUUUUUCUGAGUAGCUACAGUUCAAGUGCUCCACAGCUACCUGCGGCUAGGGUUACAAUGCAGAGACUAUGUGUUCCUCAAGUGAAGAAACUAUCUCAUUUACAUUUUAUCCUCAUCACCUAACACUGACCAGAAUUUAACAAAUUCACAUGGGCUUCAAAACAAAUACUGAAAGAAACCUGAGUCCACCCGGCCCUCCACAUUCAGGAACUUACAAGCACAGUGGACCCGUCUUCUUCCAUCUUCUGGCACGUCUCCUUCUCUAUGCCUAAGACAGAAAGUCAUUUUUAUAGUUAUCCCAAGAAGUCGGUUCCUUUCCUCCCUAGUGAAAGGCUCUUGGAAACCCCAGUGCAGGCGAGAAUGACUUAUGAACACAUGAAAAGCAUUUUAAGAUUUUAUUUAAAAGGAGCGCUGGCAUUUUGUUGAGUGCUGUUAUAAGUCCAUGACAUUCAGAAGAGGAGCACAUGGUUAGUCAGCCACAAACAGGUCGUCAGCCUUCAGGCUGAAAGAACAGCAAGGCUGCCCCCUUGUGUCCAUUAAAAGUUUGGAAAAAUGUGUCGUACUAACUGUGGCAUUAUUUCAGAAAGGGGACACUGUGUAACACUGAAUGCUUUUUUUUAAUCAUCAAGUCGGAGUGAAUUUAAAUUCCAGCCCAGAAGGGUGGCCUUGAUCUAAUUAAUGCAGCAGAUAAGAUAAUAAGCUUUAAAAUUCAAGGCAGCGAAACUAAACUCAUUCUCCCCUCCACCCCUUCAAAUGGGCUUCCUUGUCUCAGGUCUAUCCUCUACUCUACUAGGGUAGAGGAUGACAUUUAAAAUAACCAGAAGAUGGCUGGGCACAGUGGCUCAUGCCUGUAAUCCCAGCACUUUGGGAGGCCAAGGUGGGUGGAUCAUCUGAGGUCAGGAGACCAGCCUAGCCAACAUGGCGAAGCCUCAUCUACUAAAAAUACAAAAAUUAGCUGGGCGUGGUGGCGCAUGCCUAUAAUCUCAGCUACUUGGGAGGCUGAAGCAGGAGAAUCGCUUGAACCCGGGAGCUGGAGGUUGCAGUGAGUUGAGAUAGCGCCACCACACUCCAGCCUGGGCAACAAGAGCGAAACUCAGUCUCAAAAAUAAGAAAAAUAAAAAAUAAAAUAACCAGAAGAUGCACUCAUUAAAGUAAACAUAAAAAUACAGAAAAGCAUACAAAAGUUUAAAGUUACAAUCCUCCACAUGGCAAUCACUAACUACUAUUGUUGUCAAUAGCUAAUUAUUUAAAACACAAAUGUGACCAUCACUCCCUUAUUCAAAAACCUUCAACCUCCCCCUCCCUACCUAUAGGAUCAAGCCCAGAUUCCACGGUAUGACCUUGUUUCCCACUUGGCCAGAUACUUACAGAAAGCAACCAGGCCUUUUACCAACGUGGCAGCUUUCUUCCCAUGGCUGUGUGAAAAUCUCAUUUCCUGGAGAACAUCUAGUAAGUAUCCAUCAGGACCCAGCUUCAAGGGGACACUCACCAGGACACAGUCAGGAUUCACCUAACAGGGCCUGUAGCCAUUCCCACACCCAGGACCGCAGCCUCCACUUGCUUGUGAUGCGGCUGAUCAGUUACAAUGUAACCACUUGUUUAAAUAUGUUCCCCUUGCUGUUUGCUAACUUUGAAGACAGCACUGUAUGUACAGGGCCCCAGCUCUCUACAUAAAUUUUUAUUGAAGGAAUUUCCUCUAGUGAGGAAGAAUAUAAUUCAAUAAAUGUUUACCAUGUACUGUGUCAAAGGUGACUCAAAGAUGAGUGGUAGUCUCUAACCUCAGUAAGUUUAUAAUAUUACCUUCCUGUAAUUAACACACUGCGCUAGGUACUGUGGAACAGGAAGGGGGAAAGGAAAUGUGGGAGCAAAAGCAUGCUGGAGAGACCUGAAGGGAUGUGCAGAUCUGUGUAAGAGGCAGCAAAGGAAGACACUUCAGAUGGAAAAAAACCAAGGCAGGUGUUAAGAAUACUCAGGAUUAACCCCAAGAAACUGGGGGAAUGGUGAACAAUAUCUUUGGGAAAGAUGUCAGGGCAGAAGACAGUAUUGGAAGAAAUCAGGAACAAUGCCUGGCAUAUUAUUUUAUAGAUGAGAGACUGAGGCCUGGGAUGAGAAGGAGGCCAGGGGGAAUAAAUUGCUCCAAGUCCUGACUUUCCAUCUGCUUCCCUGGCUUAAUGGCAGAUCAUGACUUUUAAAAUUCUAUACAUAAAAGCCCAUGAAUAAAAUUAUGUUAAGAAGAUCUGAGUUUUUAAUAAUGUUUAAUGUAGUCAGGAACAUGGUUCUAAACUUUUCAUAAGUAAAGUUUAAGGCCAAGGAUGUAACUGGGGUCCCAAGAAAGAGGGGCUUAGCUCUAGAAUGAUCUGAUGAGUCCAUCAAUAAGAGGCUUCCACCCUGGUUAGCCCAGGUUCCUCAUUGGCAUGUUAAGAAAGAUUUUACAGUGCACUGGUCAAUCUCAACUUACCACAUCUGUACCAGGAAAAUUUACAGUAGCCUAGUAUCAUGAAAAUAAUCUCUUCAUACUUUGGCAUUGUGGCGAAAAGACCAUGGAACCAGACUGCUUAGAGUCAAAUGUAGUUCUACCAUUUACUAAUGAUGAGGUUCAGAACACACUUCACCAAAAUAUGGUGCCUUCGCAUUUGAGGACACAGCAGAAGCAGGGAGGUCUCUCGGCCCCUCUCCUGCCCCCUUUCCUGAAGCAGGCCAUAAAGCAACCCCUCAGACCUUCCCCUGAAAAUAGUUCAUAAGACCUCAUUACAAGAGGGGUCCUCCCUGUACACAGAGAAAAACAAUGUCCUUAUCCUGAAAGACACAGACACCAAGAGGAAUUGGAACAAACAGGACUUGCUAAGUUCCCCUGGUUUAUUACCACAGAUCACACCCUUCUGUCCUCCAAUUAUACUUCUGCACAACUAUCUAUAAAAGUACAGUUUUCCCUGUUCCUUUGGGUCUUCAUUUCUGGAGGCUCUAAUGUCAUGUAAAACUUAUAUUAAAUAUAUUUGUACACUUUUCUCUUGUUGAUCUUUUGUUAGAGAUGUCUCAGCCAUGAACCUUGUGGUGAGGAAAAAGAUACCACUUUUCUGUCCUACCCUAGCCAAGUGACUUUAAUCAAGUCACUUAACUUCUUUGACUUACUUUGUUUCUCUGAAGAAGUGAGAAAAGGGUAACACCUUGCUAUGAAUGAGUAUAUGCAAAGCACUUAAAACAAUGCCUGUACAUGGUAAGGCACCAUACAUGUCAGUUGUUAUUUCUCUAAGUUAAACAAUGAGUAUAACAAUCACAAAAAAGUCAAACAUAUGACAUAUUUAUAGGCCAUUUGAUAUAGUUUAAAUAUUUGCCCCCUAAAUCUCAUGUUGAAACCUGAUC